AUACUUAUGUGGCAGGGAAGAUACCUGGUCACAAGGGUGGUUUUCCCAGGGUGAGGCUUAUCCAUUGCAUUCUGGAUGUGCUAACCCCUAUGAUUUCCCCAAAUGUGAGAAACUGCAUAAUUUGGAAUAAUGGGACUAUGUUUGUGAUUUCCCCUA